GGGGGCGAAUUGGCUUCGACCGGAUAGGUUGAAGUGUCAGUGGCGUGUCGUGGUUGGUCAGUUGGCCACGUUAAAAGCUGACCACUCUAUUUAUUUGCCGAGGAAAACCUCGUACUGGCUGCGUAACAUUCGUAGCCCCGGCUGAGGGAUUUAGCCGAAGAGUCCCAAAAGCCGGUCGCCAAAUUCGGAUCGCCGACGGUCAUGUCUGGCACGUCGUCGGUUAAAAAAGUUCCGGGCUAGGCUAGCGAAGAGCCUGUCGAUUGGCGCUUCGCGGUCAAAAACCAAAUAAUCGACUAUGCACGUAGAAGCUGGCAUGGAAAUAUCACGGGACGCGGGUUCGAUUCCCGCCGCCUCCACUG
rnacentral:tmRNA from 2 species